CCUACGGGUGGCAGCAGUGGGGAAUAUUGCACAAUGGGGGAAACCCUGAUGCAGCGACGCCGCGUGAGUGAUGAAGUAUUUCGGUAUGUAAAGCUCUAUCAGCAGAGAAGAAAAUGACGGUACCUGACUCAGACGCCCCGGCUAACUACGAGCCAGCAGCCGCGGUAAUACGUAGGGGGCCAGCGUUAUCCGGAUUUACUGGGUGUAAAGGGAGCGUAGACGGCCAGAUAAGUCAGAAGUGAAAGCCUAGGGCUCAACCCUAGGAUUGUUUUUGAAACUGCCCGGCUGGAGUGCAGGGGAGGUAAGCGGAAUUCGUGGUGUAGCGGUGAAAUGCGUAGAUAUUAGGAGGAACACCAGUGGCGAAGGCGGCUUACUGGACUGUAACUGACGUUGAGGCUCGAAAGCGUGGGUAGCAAACAGGAUUAGAUACCCGUGUAGUC
rnacentral:rRNA from 1 species